rnacentral:rRNA from 1 species
AGGUCUCUUCGGAGAUACUCGAGUGGCGAACGGGUGAGUAACACGUGGGUGAUCUGCCCUGCACUUCGGGAUAAGCCUGGGAAACUGGGUCUAAUACCGGAUAGGACCACGGGAUGCAUGUCUUGUGGUGGAAAGCGCUUUAGCGGUGUGGGAUGAGCCCGCGGCCUAUCAGCUUGUUGGUGGGGUGACGGCCUACCAAGGCGACGACGGGUAGCCGGCCUGAGAGGGUGUCCGGCCACACUGGGACUGAGAUACGGCCCAGACUCCUACGGGAGGCAGCAGUGGGGAAUAUUGCACAAUGGGCGCAAGCCUGAUGCAGCGACGCCGCGUGGGGGAUGACGGCCUUCGGGUUGUAAACCUCUUUCACCAUCGACGAAGGUCCGGGUUCUCUCGGAUUGACGGUAGGUGGAGAAGAAGCACCGGCCAACUACGUGCCAGCAGCCGCGGUAAUACGUAGGGUGCGAGCGUUGUCCGGAAUUACUGGGCGUAAAGAGCUCGUAGGUGGUUUGUCGCGUUGUUCGUGAAAUCUCACGGCUUAACUGUGAGCGUGCGGGCGAUA